rnacentral:rRNA from 1 species
GAAUGCUGACAUAAGUAACGAUAAAGCGGGUGAAAAGCCCGCUCGCCGGAAGACCAAGGGUUCCUGUCCAACGUUAAUCGGGGCAGGGUGAGUCGACCCCUAAGGCGAGGCCGAAAGGCGUAGUCGAUGGGAAACAGGUUAAUAUUCCUGUACUUGGUGUUACUGCGAAGGGGGGACGGAGAAGGCUAUGUUGGCCGGGCGACGGUUGUCCCGGUUUAAGCGUGUAGGCUGGUUUUCCAGGCAAAUCCGGAAAAUCAAGGCUGAGGCGUGAUGACGAGGCACUACGGUGCUGAAGCGACAAAUGCCCUGCUUCCAGGAAAAG